AAUGAACGCUGGCGGCAGGCCUAACACAUGCAAGUCGAACGAAGCCUUCGGGUUUAGUGGCGGACGGGUGAGUAACGCGUGGGAACGUGCCCUUUGGUUCGGAAUAGCCCUGGGAAACUGGGAGUAAUACCGAAUGUGCCCUUCGGGGGAAAGAUUUAUCGCCAAAGGAUCGGCCCGCGUUGGAUUAGGUAGUUGGUGGGGUAAUGGCCUACCAAGCCGACGAUCCAUAGCUGGUUUGAGAGGAUGAUCAGCCACACUGGGACUGAGACACGGCCCAGACUCCUACGGGAGGCAGCAGGUGGGGAAUCUUAGACAAUGGGGGAAACCCUGAUCUAGCCAUGCCGCGUGAUCGAUGAAGGCCUUAGGGUUGUAAAGAUCUUUCAGAUGGGAAGAUAAUGACGGUACCAUCAGAAGAAGCCCCGGCUAACUCCGUG
rnacentral:rRNA from 1 species